rnacentral:rRNA from 1 species
UACGUAGGGUGCAAGCGUUUAAUCGGAAUUACUGGGCGUAAAGCGUGCGCAGGCGGUUAUGUAAGACAGAUGUGAAAUGCCCGGGCUUAACCUGGGAACUGCAUUUUGUGACUGCAUGGCUAGAGUUUUGGCAGAGGGGGGUAGAAUUCCACGUGUAGCAGUGAAAUGCGUAGAUAUGUGGAGGAACACCGAUGGCGAAGGCAGCCCCCUGGGUCAAGACUGACGCUCAUGCACGAAAGCGUGGGGAGCAAACAGG